rnacentral:rRNA from 2 species
GAUACCCUAUUAUUUUAAAUGUAAUUUUUUUAACUAAAAUUAUUAAUAGUUAUGUUCUUUAAAAUUAAAAAUUUUGGCGGUAUUUUAGUCUUUUCAGAGGAACCUGUUUUUUAAUUGAUAGUCCACGAUAAUUUUUACUUUAACUUUAAAUUUAUAUAUCGUCGUUUAUAAAGAUUUUAUUAGAAUUUUAAUUUUUAAUAUUUUUAAUUAAAUAUUAAUUCAGAUCAAGGUGUAGUUGAUGUUAAAGUUAAAAUGGGUUACAUUAAAUUUAUUUUUGGUUUUAUUAUUUAAAAUUUUAAAUAAAUUGGAUUUGAAAGUAAUAAUUAUAUUUAUAUAUUAUGAUUAAGCUCUAAAAUAUGCACACAUCGCC